rnacentral:misc_RNA from 1 species
AAGCUGAGAGAUACCCUCAUGCUCACGUCGCAAGGCGAACGUGUGGCCGGGACCGGUGAAAAGAAUCGGUCUCUCACGUCUUCUCCGUCUUCUGAUAUGCUAUCCCAGCUGAUCAGUCACGUCUCACGGAGUGCCGUUACACCGUACGGGGCGCGCGUGCCUAAGGAAAGCGCUGAAUCCGUCCUCCUCAAACAGCGCAUGGAGGUCAUGAAAACCGUAGCAGCCAUACGGGCCAACGAGGACACCUUUGGUGGCGCUCGCGUAUCGAGACACGGAUGUACGCUCCCGCAGACGAAGGCUGCACCACGAGAUACAACCCGCAGGCCCCUCUACACCGCCACCUCUAGCAAUCAAUACAAGACGAUCAAGGACUUGAAGGCCGGCGACGGCACUGAACCGGGUGCAGUUCAGCUCAAGAGAACGUCGCUCGUGCACGACGCUUCAGGUACGCUUGUAACGGCUGAGUCGCCUCACGGCAAUGACACCGAAAGUAGGGAUCCACGAAAAGCGGUGGCGGAGAAGCACCGGGCGGCUCUGGUUACUCCCCGGCCGCAUGUCCCCACGCGUAUUGAACAGUGGAUAGGGAGUUUCGGUCGUUCCCUCGGAGCGGUCAAACCCUACGCAGUGGGCCGAAGCACAAAGCUGGCGACACGACACUGCUUUACUGAUCUCCCUGUUGACACAAAUGAUCGAUAUGUGGAUAGAAUGCAGUGCUGCCGCCCUUCCAAAGGCCUUUACACGUACUACUAACCGUCCCAUGCUACCUUGCCAGUGGCGACCCACUUCUCCCUCCCCCUCAGUCGUGUGUGCACUGCAGCGUGCCGUGAAGCUACCGAGUCUUUAGUUACACACAUUUGCUAGGCAUCAGGGCAGGGCCGCCGGCCAACACUCAUGUAUACUAGUUCCCAACGCGUAGAAGUUAGCGUCGGCGCUUUUUCUCUCCCUUUUAUGUGAGUUUUCACUCCCCUCCUCUCGUUCUGUUUUAAGCCGUUGGCGUUGCUUCUUUUAGUUUGUUUGCUUGCUGUGUGCGGGUGCCCGCCGCCCUUGUACAGUUCACUUCCUUCGCCCUUGC